UACGGGGGGGGUAAGCGUUGUUCGGAAUUACUGGGCGUAAGGGGCGCGUAGGCGGCCUUCUAAGUCGAACGUGAAAUCCCUGGGCUCAACCCAGGAACUGCGUCCGAUACUGGGAGGCUUGAAUCCGGGAGAGGGAUGCGGAAUUCCAGGUGUAGCGGUGAAAUGCGUAGAUAUCUGGAGGAACACCGGUGGCGAAGGCGGCAUCCUGGACCGGUAUUGACGCUGAGGCGCGAAAGCCAGGGGAGCAAACGGG
rnacentral:rRNA from 1 species